rnacentral:rRNA from 1 species
GCUUGUCUCAAAGAUUAAGCCAUGCAUGUCUAAGUGUAAAUACGUCUACACUGUGAAACUGCGAAUGGCUCAUUAAAUCAGUUAUCGUUUAUUUGAUGAUCUCUUGUUACAUGGAUAACCGUAGUAAUUCUAGAGCUAAUACAUGCACAAAUUCCCGUCAGGGAUGUAUUUAUUAGAUUGAAACCAAUGCGGGGUAACCCGGUGUUUGGUGAUUCAUAAUAACUUUCGGAUCGCAUUUGCGAUGCAUCAUUCAAGUUUCUGCCCUAUCAGCUUUGGAUGGUAGGGUAUUGGCCUACCAUGGCAUUAACGGGUAACGGAGGAUUUGGGUUCGAUUCCGGAGAGGGAGCCUGAGAAAUGGCUACCACAUCCAAGGAAGGCAGCAGG